CCUGUGUCGAGGUAUAAAUAGCACUGAAAACUACGAGAUUAUUUAGUAGAAAAAUCUUCAAAAUGGAUUUUCCUCUUUGCAAAAAGGCGAUAUUUGGGUUACUAAUGAUGCUCGCUCUGCUAGUAUCGUUCAGUGAAGGGAGUCAGAAUGAUGCUGCUGAUGAUGAUGGGGACGUAUUCUAUGAUUGUAAUCGAUAAUAGACAGCUCUCCAGUCUUGAAGGAAACAUUCUCUUGUGGAAAGUGAUAAUGAUACCCCCUCCACACCGACUUCUUCUCAACAUUCUUUUCCUACAAGGAAUGAAAUCUUAUACUAUCAACUCUAUUUCUCAAUCCUGGAGGAUUUUUAAAACACCUUAAUUCGUUCCCAUAAAUUAUGAUAAGAAAUAUGAAACUCUGUACAACAAUAAAUAGCAAAUUGUAAAAUUUA